AGGGACCCAGCCUAAAAGGACACCUCACGGGAGCACAUCUUGGAAACAGAGGUCUUGGACUUAAAUUCCAGAUCCUCAGAACAAAGGCUAAGAGAAAGCCGAUUGUUUGGGGUGCCUGGUUGCGGGCGACCGAAGGCGAAGUGGAGAACUGGAGUCCGGUAACUGUCUUCCACUGACACCCCUUUCUGCUGAUAGGACAUCCCUAUUCCUGAGACACAAUAUUGAAAUUAGGCCAAUUAACAACCCUACAACGGCCUCAAAGUAUUCAAGUGAAAGGAAGAAUUGCACAUCUCUCACUUUAAAUCAAAAGAAUCAAUUAAGCUUGAUGAGAAAGGGACAUCAAAUGCCAAGACAGGCCAAAAGCUAGGCCUCAUGCACCAGUCAGUCAAGGUGUGAAAGCAAUAGAAAAGUUCUUGAAGGAAAAGAAAAGUGCUACUCCAGUGAACACAUGAAUGAUAAGAAAGUUAAACAGCCUUAUUGCUGAUAAGGAGAAAGUUUUAGUGGUCUGGAUAGAAGCCCAAACCAGCCACAACAUACCUUUAAGCCAAAGCCUAACCAGAGCAAGGCCCUAAUUCUCUUCAAUUAUCUGAAGGCUGCAGAAGAAAAGUUUGAAGCUUGCAGCAGUUGAUUCAUGAGGUUUAAGGAAAGAAGCCAUCCCCAUAACAUAAAAGUACAAGGUGAAGCAGCAAGUGCUAAUGUAAAAGCUGCAGCAAGUUAUCCAGAGGAUCUAGCUGAAAUAACUGAUGAAGGUGGCUAUACAAAACAAGGGUUUCAAUGUAGACCAAAAAGCUUUCUAAUGGAAGAUGCCAUCUAGUACUUUCAGAGCUAGAGAGAAGUCAAUGCCUGGCUUCAAAGCUUCAAAGGACACGCUCUCUUGUAAGGGGUUAAUGCAGCUGGUGACUAAGUUGAAGCCAAUGCUCAUUUACCAUCCUGAAAAUACUAGGACCCUU